rnacentral:misc_RNA from 1 species
UCCGAGUUGACCCCGGCAGUCUCCUAUGAGUCCCCACCAUGACGUGCUGGCAACAUAGAACGAGGGUUGCGCUCGUUGCGGGACUUAACCCAACAUCUCACGACACGAGCUGACGACAACCAUGCACCACCUGUGCACGGCCCUUACGGACCCACCAUCUCUGAUGCUUUCCGGCGUAUGUCAAGCCCAGGUAAGGUUCUUCGCGUUGCAUCGAAUUAAUCCGCAUGCUCCGCCGCUUGUGCGGGCCCCCGUCAAUUCCUUUGAGUUUUAGCCUUGCGGCCGUACUCCCCAGGCGGGGCACUUAGUGCGUUAGCGACGGCACGGGAGGAGUCGACACCUCCCACACCUAGUGCCCAUCGUUUACGGCGUGGACUAC